rnacentral:rRNA from 1 species
UAGGGAAUAUUGCGCAAUGGGCGAAAGCCUGACGCAGCGACGCCGCGUGUGGGAGGAAGCCUUUCGGGGUGUAAACCACUGUCAGGGGGGAAGAACGGCGCCGAGUCGAAUAGGCUCGGCGAUUGACGGUACCUCCACAGGAAGCGCCGGCUAACUCCGUGCCAGCAGCCGCGGUAAGACGGAGGGCGCAAGCGUUGUUCGGAAUUACUGGGCGUAAAGCGCGGGCAGGCGGUCUGUUAAGUCGGUUGUGAAAAUCCGGGGCUCAACCCCGCGAAAUGCAGCCGAUACUGGCAGACUGGAGACCGGUAGAGGCUAGCGGAAUUCCUGGUGUAGCGGUGGAAUGCGUAGAUAUCAGGAAGAACACCUGUGGCGAAGGCGGCUAGCUGGGCCGGGUCUGACGCUCAUCCGCGAAAGCGUGGGGAGCAAACAGGAUUAGAUACCCCCGUAGUCC